AUCAGCAAGAAAAUAUAUUAAAAUUUAUUAUAAAUCAAAAAGACUAGUGCACGAGGAAAUACAUCUCAAGUAAAAUUAGACCCAAUAAUAACUUGUUAUUUCAAAAAUAAAAGUAAAAAAUAUUUUACGAAAAAAAGAAAAACAUUUGGUAUAUAUUAAUGAGAAACAUCAAAAUGCAGAUAAGGGCUGUGGGAUAAAUAAAAAUUCCAAGACAUUGAUAAUGUUCCCAAGUUAAAUAAUAUGGAUAAAUUGAAGGGGGCACCCAUCCCCUGAUGUAUUAUUCUAAAUUAUCAUCAGUUUUGCCUCUCUAAUUUUCAAUGACUAACCAAAACAUGAUAAUCACAUAGUUUCAUUUUCUUUUUAAUUCUUUUUAACAGAUUCUUUUUAUAUUUGUCUUUUCUUAUAAAGAAUUUAUGCAACGUGCAUAUUAUGUUCCUGUAUUUUUAUCAAUUUGUAUUAUUUUUUACGCGUUUUCCUUCUAUGAUUGAGUCGAAAUUUAAAAUAUUCUUUUAUAAACCUGAAAAAAAAUAUUUAUUUUCAUCUCCAAUUCAAACUCAAGAUAUCGGAUUCAUCUCGAGUGUCCUUGUAUAAAUUGCAUCAUAACUUUAAUAUAUGAUGGAACAUAAGACUAUUGCCUCGUAAAAUUAUUUAUUUGAGAAUUAUAUACUCAGUAUAGAUAAGAAUUUUUUUUAUAAUUUUCGUAUCGAGCCAAAUUAUAGUUUUAUUUUCUAAGCAGUCGGGGACAUCAAUUAAAUCAUUUUCAAACAGAUUUAUUAUUCUUUUAGAUCUGCUGUCUUUUUUUCUUCAAUUUUUCUUUUUUGUUUAUAUGCUGGAAUAUGUUUCGUUGUCUUCUUGCUUGUGCAGAAGCUGGCCAUAUUAAAAGAUGAUAACUCAUUCUUAUCUUUAUUUUUUUUAGGAAAAAAGAAAAGAAAAGAAAGUUUUAAUAGCCCACAUGACCUAACUUUUAAUUAUGAACCACUUUAAUAAAAUCAUUUUUAAUUCAAUAAAAAUCGCAUUAAAAGAAAAUCUGGGCACCAGAUCUCGAACUUUAUUUCAGAUUCAUGAUAAAUAAGAAAGCAGGUCAUUUGGGAACAUAUGGCAAGAAUCUAAAUUAAGGGAAAUCAUAAAAAUUCACAGCAUAAAUGGAUGUUCUAAAGAUCAUCUCUCGGUCUCAGUUUGUUGCUACUGAAACACAAUUUAGAUAUGGCCUUGUUUCCUUGCAAAUCUUUCUUCCUCAUUCUCCUUGUUUUCUCAGUUGCAUUAGUGCAUGAAGCAGAAGCCAAGAUAUGCCGUAUUAUACUUCCCAGGCUUCCAGGAAACCGCAAUUGUGAGAUUAAAAUGUGCAACAGCUUGUGCAAAUUCUUGCACCAUGGGACUGCAGAAUGUGUUGAUGUUUUCAGACCUUACACUCAGUGCAUGUGCAGUUGGCAGUGCAAGUGACUGAUCUGAUAAGCCUCAAUUAUCAUCAAGCAGAUCAUAUAAAAUAAAAGAGGACUGUGUAAUUUUAGUGGGUCGUUCUUAGUGAUCAUGGCCCUGAUUGAUUACUUGCAGAUAUUUCUUGGGUGCUUCUCCUUAAUUCUUUCCUCGGGUUUUGUUUAUUCUGAUUCUUGCA